rnacentral:rRNA from 1 species
UAGGGAAUCUUCGGCAAUGGACGAAAGUCUGACCGAGCAACGCCGCGUGAGUGAAGAAGGUUUUCGGAUCGUAAAACUCUGUUGUUAGAGAAGAACAAGGACGUUAGUAACUGAACGUCCCCUGACGGUAUCUAACCAGAAAUCCACGGCUAACUAUGUGCCAGCAGCCGCGGUAAUACGUAGGUGGCAAGCGUUGUCCGGAUUUAUUGGGCGUAAAGCGAGCGCAGGCGGUUUCUUAAGUCUGAUGUGAAAGCCCCCGGCUCAACCGGGGAGGGUCAUUGGAAACUGGGAGACUUGAGUGCAGAAGAGGGGAGUGGAAUUCCAUGUGUAGCGGUGAAAUGCGUAGAUAUAUGGAGGAACACCAGUGGCGAAGGCAGCUCUCUGGUCUGUAACUGACGCUGAGGCGCGAAAGCGUGGGGAGCAAACAGG